rnacentral:lncRNA from 1 species
CAAGAAAGAUGCAUAGAUCUAAAAGCUCUUUGCUACUUGUGACCAUAUAUGAUUUAUCAAAAACAGGCUUAUAGAAAUCAACAGGCUUGGUGAAGAUUUUCUGUGUUUUUCAGCUUAUUUCAGCCUUAUUUUUGCCAGUGUCCUGAUGUUAAUUGGCUUUUAUUGUGCCAACUUAAUCUUCACAGUGGUAAGUGCCUUCUGACGCAAGGCACAUUUGAGUAAGUUCAUUUGUUAUCUCUGCAGUUUAUCUCCACACAAUAUCGUUUAAUGAAAUGUGCUUUGUGCUUCAGAUACCCAGUUCUGUAGUAAGGCAUGUGAGAGCAAUUUACUCCACUGUGUUUUUACUGAAGCAUUUGUAUAGGUUAGGGAAGUUUGCCUGUUGGUAUUUUGUUGACAUGGCUAAAAAACCUGGGCCACAGGCAGCUGCACCUCUGCUGUCUGAAUCCUGCACUGAUUUAGCAGGUCACAAGCAUAAAUUGCCCCAGGGUAAAGUGUGUCAACAUUUGAGACUGAGAUUGGCACAGAUACAAAGUUCCCUAAGCCAUCUGCACAAACCCAGCAGCAUACCCCAGACCUUUCAAAUGAGGGGAGAAACAGCUAGCCUUGAAGAGAUGCUUUUGCUGCAUUACUCAUUUAGCCAGUUCUGGGUAUUUCAUGGUCAGAAGGCACAGGAAUGUCUUUUGCAUGAACUAGGUUUUAUGAGAGCAAUCUAUGUUAGCAAUGCAAAAUGCAUAGCUUGUCCUGCAGUGCUGGGUUUGCCAAGGGACCAGGGGGUUGCAUCUUAAAAUGCACAUCUUGCUUCCUAGAUCAUUUCAGUUUUUUUAAUCAGCUUUGCCUUACCCCAAACUUUAAAAUGUUCCGAAUGCUGCCAGCAGGCGAGAAGGAGAAAUGGAUGCUUUCAGAUUCUAUGGGCAAAUUUUCCUGCAAGGGAAAGUCUUUCUUGUUUUAAAUCUAAGUGUAAAUUCUGCAUUCACGUGUGUGCAUGUGUAUGAAAGCAAAGGCAGCCAUUAAUGCCUUGCAUCAUACUGUGUGAUAUGCGUAUUAGAAUGUACUACAUAUUGCAUGUGACUCAUGUAAUACAUAAACCAGACAUAAUAUCAAGGUGCAAAAUAUAUAGAAUACAUUUUAUGUAUAUUUUAUGCUUUUCAACCAUAAGGCUAAGAAUGCUAAAAGCAUAUAAUUUAAUAUAAUCAGAAUAGUCUAUAGAACUGGUUGUAAGACGGGAUCUGUUUGCAUCUUUGUUACCCUGCGUGUUUUUUGUUGUCUUGAGAUCUGGCUCCAUGCCUAGAGUGCUUUUAUUGUGGCCUCUCCUCAUCUGGGCCCUGAUCAUAUGGUAGAAGUUGUUUGUGUAAAUCCUAACUGCUGUAUUUCUUCAGAGUCCCAUUGUCUUCUCAAAGGUUUUUAGUGUACAGGGAUCUCCCCUGGGGUCAGCGCACAACCUUUAUAUUAAAACCUCUGUUCUCUCUUGCUGAAAUCAGUAGCAAAAUGUCACUUGUCUCAGUUACUGCAGAUCAGUCUGGGAGACACAACUGUGAUGUGAUGAGGGAUCUAUAGCUGAGAGGAGUUUGCCUGAAUACAUAGGUGCCUAAUUCCUCUUUGUUUCAUUGGGACUGAGGCAAACGUCUGAAGGUCUGGGCUUUGGGAGCCAUUCUGCAUCCCUUGAAGCAUGUAACCAGCUGGUGGGUAAGUAAUCCUGAUGGAUAAGUGGGACUGAGGAAGGGUUAGCACAGUGGCAUCUCUGUAAAAUGUUGUCUUGGUCAUUGAGUUAGUUUAGUAAAAGGCUGUUGUUGUUCUGAGUUGUGUUUCAGGAUCACUAUAAUGAAAUCUUUUAUGUGAGUGCAGGAGAGCGACUUCUUUUCGCAUUUUGUGUUGCUCAAGCAGAUGUUCUAGAAACUAGCAAAAGAAUGUGCUAUUUAAGAGGGAUGUUUCAAGGCUCCUGCUGUCUCCUAGUAGAAUGCCCAUGUUUGGGGUUAUUUUAUGCCUGAGUAUAUCAGCUGAUAAAAGUUUCCCCAAAGUAAGAUAUAAAAAACUGAGGUUAAGCACAAGUUCAGGAGGAGCCUACGUCAGAAAAUUCCUGUGCUCAUUUCUUCCCUUGGGCCUGACCCCAUUGCCCCUGCCAGGCAGGAAGGAGCCCUCCCUGCUCAUAGCAGGUUGUUCUUCCAACCACCAUGACAGACGGCUGGGCACGGAGCCUUCGGCAAAAGAAAAGAUGAGAGAUAAGUUACUGGUAGCAUAAUCCCAGCAUGUCUUAGAAAGAUGAGCUUGGAAAGAGAUUUCCUGCUCUCAGGUGAAAUUCAGCACUGAGUUUGUAGCUGGAGUAUUGUGGUUUCUGAAAAUCUCCAUACAGACACAUGCAUGCUUGCAGAUGCACACACAAAUCACUGCUGCGAAUGAACUCUGUUGCAACCAGGCAGCUUUGUGUAAUUUUUGCCAUCCACAUUUUCCAGUUCUGAAAAGAAAGUGCAAAUGAAAAUGUGAAAACAGGAAUGGUGUUUGCUCCCUGGGUUUUCUGUGUUAGAGCCAAGAGAGAUAUAAAAAGCCAACAGAAGCUUGGAAACUGUAACCUUGGGACUUCAUUUGGCCCUGCAAAUCCUUCUCUAAGCACCUUCUGAAAAGCAAGGCAGUGAAAUCCCGGAGUAGGCAAUAACAUUAUAUGCUAUAGAACUUCUGGAAUUCAAUAUUUUUAUUAAGGAGCCUUCAGAUUUUGUUUGCAAGUGACUGAAGGGACAUAGUGGCACCACUGCCACUGGCUUCAGAGAGGACUUUUGUCGCCAAAUCACAGUGUCGCUUUCAAAAAUCUUACCUCAAGUUCUCAACCCUUAGCACUCAUUCCUGGAUGUCCAGAAUCCAAAUCUGUCUGUCUAGCUGUUUCCUUCUGAAGGCAGAGCACAUCCUCAUGAAGCAAAGUAGGCACCUCCAGGGACUUGUUUCCAUAACAACCUCCCAGACUGUUUCUCUUUAGCCUGUGACAGUGGCUACAAGCAAAAGCACUCAUUGCGUAUUUUCAGCUUUCAGAUGUUAGCACCUUGUCUUUAUAGCUGUUUCUUUGCUUACUGAACAUGAUCCCACCACCUUAUAUCAUGUACAACUGUCCUGUCCAACUUCAGACAGACAGUUGUCAGCAUGUGAAAGCAAAGAGUGCAAACCAGGAGAUGGGAAGGGAUUGUAUUUGUAUAUCCUUGCACAGAGAGAGGUGGGGAGUGUGUGAAGGACAAUCUGAGCACUCACAGUCAAGGAUCUGAGGGGCAACUGGCCUGUGAAUGUAGAGUCAACUGGGUGCCCAGUGACAAGGAAUACAAGCUAAAGCAUCACAUUGAAAAACCCAGAAACUCCCCUUUCAACAAUCUUGCUGGGAAAUAGUUUUGCUGUGGAAGAGUCCAUGGCUCUUUCCCAAACCCUUGGCUGUCCUGCAACAUCAGUUCCCCAGGUAAUUUCCCCAUGGGAUGUUUUACACCAAAGCAGGACAAGGCAGAAAGCAUCUCACUGGAGGUGGGGAAGGAAGGAAAAGAAGAAUUUUACUGAGGACACCUUUUUUUUUAGUCCGCAACUCAUUGACCACAUCAAAGACUGUAAGUGUGAAAGGCAUGAAGAGCUGUUUUGUGAUAUUUCAAAGCCUGCAUUACUGGUGUAUCCCUGCACUUACCUCCAAGAUGAAAUUCCUAUUCUGCUCCUGCUUGGAAGAAGUCACAGUUCAGGAUUUCUGAGUAAUUUUCUGGUUUGGCCCUGUUCCUUUUGAUCCAGCUUUCAUGGAUAAAAAUUCACUGCUACAGGAGCUAUGGAGGUGAAGGUGACCGGACUUGGUGUUCUCUCCUAGGCCCCCUUGUUCAGUGUACAGAGAUCCCUAUGGAGGUGAAGAAGAAUGAGUAUAAAGGAAAUUCAGGGCAGCAAAAGACAGGGUAAGGACUGAAGUGUCUUCCAUACUGUGAUGGAAAAAGCAGCAUCAAUCCUAAAAGCAAAGGAACAAACAGCUCCAGCGUCUGCUGCUUUAGCAGAAGUAGGUCCUGUUUAUAUCAGCGUAAGAUCUGCAGAUCACAGCAGGAGUUAACCACAGCAUUCCCAAAAGCUCUUAUGUGACUUAAGUCCAAGCUGGGUUCUGGAUGCUGCAAGGCUGUCAGGAUGCUGCAAAAGACAUUGUUGCAUCUUCUUACCGCAGAGUUGGAGAAGUUUCUCUGUGUGCAGGGAAUACAACAUGUAUGGACAGGAAACUGGUUUCCUUGGUUUGUGGUUUUCUUGUUGCUGUUCUUUUUUAAGGGAUUAACACUCUUAGUUUCAGGAAACUGAAACUAGAUUUGAACAGGGAUUGGAGGGAGGAGGCAGGGUGAAUCCCAUGCAAGAGUCAAAUUUGUCUUGUUUCUGGGAGAACUAAAUAAAGCUGAAUUCAAUUGCCAGUGGCUAAAUAACAGCAAUUUAUGAACUGUUCAUCAAAAGCCCCAGUCAAGCACUGAGUACUGUGAGAAGCUGGAAAUUGACGCUGGGCACCUCCAAAAGACUCCGUUGCUGAAACUUAUUUUAAACCUUUUUCAAGUGGAGGAUCUAGUCCUGGCAAAUGCAUAAAGUCAGCCCUUUUAAGAGCAAAUAGCUUUCUCUAGAGAAUCUAACAAGCAGCUAAAGUCUGUCCGUUUGUCUGCCUGUCUUUUGGCCUUGGAUUACUGUGCUAUUUCAAAGUGUGUUUUCAUAACUCAUAAGUGGUAGAUGUUUCACAUAGCUCUACAAGUAGUAAUCAUGUUUGUGCGUAAUAUCCAAUAUCUAAGGGAUGGGCCCAAACCAGAAGUAUUUCUUGUUUACCUAUGAAGUGUCCUGCUUUAGCGUAUGUACAGUCAGUUCUUGUGGUGAACAUGUGAGUCCAUUGCUGCUCUAAAGGAGGUAGUGACUUAGUUUCAGUGGCUGUAGAGAGUUUCACUGAAAUAGCACUAUUUGUAGUCUUUCAUGUGAUUUAGAAGGCACAAUAGCAAGACAGUUCUGAAAAUGUAAUAUAAUUGUUUGCAGAGUUCUAAGAAAAUGCUCUGAAGUCUUCUCCCAUUGUACCAUUGUGAUAAAAAACUGUUGCUUUUCAAGCUCCACAAGUCCAUGCUGUGUAGUGCUGAAACUGAUAGAAAACCCAAUUAGCACUGGAAAGUGAAGGGCAGAGUGGGCUACUCUGGCCUGGAAUCCCCUCCCUUUGGCAGUAGGAAAGGUCAGUCAUGCAGCCAAAUGCCUGUAACCAAACAUGGAUCCACCCUGUGUGUGUUGCCAGCUCUCUGCAUAGGAGAGUGGAAGGAUGGGUAGAAAGAAUGGAUUCUGGAAGGGGAGAGGCUGAGAGGAAGAGUGGAGUAAAAGAUACCCUGAGCAUGACAGCUGGGAUUUUCGGAAGGUACUCUGCUGGAUGCUGGGCAUCCAACUUCCCUAAGACUCUCUAUCAAUACACUCUCUACAUUUUCAUGAAUGGCUUUUGGCCUGUUUGUCAAUCCUCACAGUCAUUGUGUGAGGGAGAAGAGAUAGAAGGCAGCUCACUCUAAUUUGGCAGCUCUUGGCACCUGGAACAGUCUAGGACUGUAAUAUCUCCUCGUGGCUGUUGGCUGAGGGUCUGAUCCUCUGAUGAGCUGUGACUUCCUUACUACCAGUGACUCAAAACAGGUUUAUAGGACUGGGCUUACAGAAGGCCUAAGGUGCCAGAUCCAAAGAUGUUUUUGGAGCAGGUCUGCUUAGUAGUCCUCAGUAUGGAUAUGAGCACACAGUUCUUUGGAGGCAACAUUCACUCCACAUUCAUAUUGUUUGGGACUUUUCAGAGUGUAAGAUGCCUUUAGUAAGGUGUGAAUAUACUGCAGAAGUCUGUGGGUACCUUUCAGAUAUAUGGCAGGCAGGUCAGAGACUUUAGACCAUACUGUGUGCCAGCACAAACAGCAGGGAUGUUAGUUACAGGAUAGCUUUGCUUUUGCUGUGAAACCUUGCUGAAACGAUGCAUUAUCUCAAGGAAGACAGUUGGGAUUUGCAGGCCAGAUCAUGUGAAUAAAGAAUUGCAUAUCCCCUAUUGAAACUAGUCUGAUUUAUACAGGUAUGGUCCAAAAUUUCUGAGAAAUUGUGGAUGGUAGGGGUUUUUGUUUGUUUGUUGCACCGAAAACUUGAAGCCUUUCAAAUAAAGUAUGUGAGAUAAACAGAUGGAGCAUGUGCUUUAGGCUGUUUGCUGGAUUCAGACUUUGAGCAUACAAGUGCUUUGUAGACAAUACUACACAGUAGUAGAAGAGGUUAUUGGGCUUGGAAGUUGACCAAGGAGACAGGACUCAGCUGAGCUUUGAACAGCAAUCAUUGUCCGUUUUGGUGAUGCCAUAAUAUGUGCUUGACUCGAACCCAAUGUUGCACAGGCCAGAACGUGAUGAAACCACGUAACUAGAUAUUUGUGAUUGUUCCUACCAGUGUGAUCCACUGUUAAAUAGGCUAGACAUAUGAAUAAAAUCAAUAUUUUU